rnacentral:rRNA from 1 species
CCUACGGGCGGCAGCAGUGGGGGAUAUUGCACAAUGGGGGAAACCCUGAUGCAGCGACGCCGCGUGGGUGAAGAAGCGCCUCGGCGCGUAAAGCCCUGUCAGCAGGGAAGAAAAUGACGGUACCUGAAGAAGAAGCCCCGGCUAACUACGUGCCAGCAGCCGCGGUAAUACGUAGGGGGCAAGCGUUAGCCGGAUUUACUGGGGCUAAAGGGGGCGCAGACGGCGAUGCAAGCCAGGAGUGAAUGCCCGGGGCCCAACCCCGGGACUGCUCUUGGAACUGCGUGGCUAGAGUGCAGGAGGGGCAGGCGGAAUUCCUGGUGUAGCGGUGAAAUGCGUAGAUAUCAGGAGGAACACCGGUGGCGAAGGCGGCCUGCUGGACUGCAACUGACGUUGAGGCCCGAAAGCGUGGGGAGCAAACAGGAUUAGAUACCCCUGUAGUC